UACAGAGGGGGCAAGCGUUGUUCGGAAUUACUGGGCGUAAAGGGCGCGUCGGCGGUCUGCUAAGUCGAACGUGAAAUCCCUGGGCUCAACCCAGGAACUGCGUCCGAUACUGGUUGGCUUGAAUCCGGGAGAGGGACGUGGAAUUCCAGGUGUAGCGGUGAAAUGCGUAGAUAUCUGGAGGAACACCGGUGGCGAAGGCGACGUCCUGGACCGGCAUUGACGCUGAGGCGCGAAAGCCAGGGGAGCAAACGGG
rnacentral:rRNA from 1 species